GACGAACGCUGGCGGCGUGCCUAAUACAUGCAAGUCGAACGCAGUGGGGACGGGUGAUUAACACGUGGGUAACCUCCCAUCAGAGGGGAUAACACUUGGAAACAGGUGCUAAACCGAUACUGAUGGAUGGACCCGCGGUGCAUUAGCUAGUUGGUGAGGUAACGGCGAACCAAGGCCACGAUGCAUAGCCGCCGUGAGAGGGAGAUAGGCCAAACUGGGACUGAGACACGGCCCAGACUCCUACGGGAGGCAGCAGUAGGGAAUCUUCGACAAUGGACGAAAGUAUGACCGAGCAACGACGCGUGAGUGAAGAAGGUUUUCGGAUCGUAAAGCUCUGUUGUUAGAGAAGCGGUAUCUAACCAGAAAGCCACGGCUAACUACGUGCCAGCAGCCGCGGUAAUUC
rnacentral:rRNA from 1 species